CGACGUUGGCGGCGUGGAUGAGGCAUGCAAGUCGCGCGCGAAAGCAUCCUUCGGGAUGUGAGUAGAGCGGCGGACGGGUGAGUAACACGUAAUCAAGCUGCCCCAGAGAUUGGAAUAACCGCGGGAAACUGCGGCUAAUACCAAAUAGUCAGGUAGGAACGCAUGUUCCAGCCUGUAAAUGAAGGGGAUCCUACGGGACCCAUUGCUCUGGGAGGCGAUUGCGGCCUAUCAGCUUGUUGGUGAGGUAACGGCUCACCAAGGCAUCGACGGGUAGCAGGCCUGAGAGGGUGGCCUGUCACACUGGGACUGAGACACUGCCCAGACUCCUACGGGAGGCUGCAGUCGAGAAUCUUCCGCAAUGGACGAAAGUCUGACGGAGCGACGCCGCGUGGAGGACGAAGGCCCUUGGGUUGUAAACUCCUGUCACGGGUUAUGAAUGGCGUAUCGUUAAUAGCGCUACGAUUGACGUAAGCCCGAGAGGAAGCACCGGCUAACUCUGUGCCAGCAGCCGCGGUAACACAGAGGGUGCAAACGUUGUUCGGAAUUACUGGGCAUAAAGCGCGCGUAGGCGGUCACGUAAGUGUGGAGUGAAAUCCCACGGCUCACCCGUGGAACUGCUUUGCAUACUGCGUGACUAGAGUGCGGUAGGGGAGAGCGGAACUCCUGGUGGAGCGGUGAAAUGCGUAGAUAUCAGGAGGAACACCGGUGGCGAAGGCGGCUCUCUGGGCCGUAACUGACGCUGAGGCGCGAAAGCCAGGGUAGCGAACGGGAUUAGAUACCCCGGUAGUCCUGGCCGUAAACGAUGGGCACUAACUAGAGGGCCUUCCUGUGGGAUCUCUGGUGAAGCAAAUGUGAUAAGUGCCCCGCCUGGGGAGUAUGUCGC
rnacentral:rRNA from 1 species